rnacentral:rRNA from 1 species
CCUACGGGGCGCAGCAGGCGCGAAAACUUCACAAUGUGCGAAAGCACGAUGAGGGGAUCCCAAGUGCUGGCUGCUAAGCCUCAGCUGUUUCUGAGUGUAAAAAGCUCCGAGAAUAAGGGCUGGGCAAGACCGGUGCCAGCAGCCGCGGUAA